rnacentral:rRNA from 1 species
GACGAACGCUGGCGGCAUGCCUAACACAUGCAAGUCUAGGGGUAGCAAUAUCACUGGCGCACGGGUGAGUAACACGUAGGUUAUCUGCCCCCAUCACAGACAUAACCCCGGGAAACCGGGGCUAAUAUCUGAUGAGGUCGCGAGAUCAAAGCUUCGGCGGAUGGGGAUGAGCCUGCGGCUGAUUAGCUAGUUGGUGAGGUAAUGGCUCACCAAGGCGACGAUCAGUAGCUGGUCUGAGAGGACGAACAGCCACACUGGAACUGAGACACGGUCCAGACUCCUACGGGAGGCAGCAGUGAGGAAUAUUGGUCAAUGGGAGCAAUCCUGAACCAGCAAUGCCGCGUGUGGGAUGACAGGGCUUCGCCUUGUAAACCACUGUCGGACGGGACGAAAGGAGGCCUCGGGCCUCUGGGACGGUACCGUCAAAGGAAGGGUCGGCUAACUACGUGCCAGCAGCCGCGGUAA